rnacentral:rRNA from 1 species
CUGCCUCGAAGACGGUGAUAGCACGGGAAACGGUGGCUAAUACCCGAUGGUCUCGAUNAGUCGGUUUAUCGAGUUAAGGCUCCGGCGCUUUGAGAGGGACCUGCGGCCNAUCAGCUAGUUGGUAAGGUAAUGGCCUACCAAUGCAAAGACGGGUAGGGGGCGUGAGAGCGUGACCCCCACACUGGCACUGGGACACGGGCCAGACUCCGAGGGGAGGCAGCAGUGAGGAAUAUUGCGCAAUGAGCGAAAGCUAGACGCAGCAACGCCGCGUGGGUGAUGAAGGCCUUCGGGUCGUAAAACCCUUUUCUGGGGGAAGAGUAAGGACGGUACCCCAGGAAUAAGCCUCGGCUAACUAUGUGCCAGCAACCGCGGUAAUACAUAGGAGGCAAGCGUUAUCCGGAUUUACUGGGCGUAAAGAGCGUUGAGGCGGCUUCGUAAGUUGGACGUGAAAGCUCCCGGCUUAACUGGGAGAGGCCGUUCAAUACUGCGGGGCUUGAGGACAGCAGAGGGGGGUGGAAUUUCCGGUGUAGUGGUGAAAUGCGUAGAUAUCGGAAGGAACA